CUGCGAAUAUAUUCUCGCCGGCUUAACCUAUCUGUGAUUUUGUCCGGGCUAGAGAUUCGCUAGAUUAAGACUAGUCUGUGUCCUCAGAGCUUGCUGUAUAUCUGGUUCUGAUUCUUGAAUGCUAGUUACACUU